UGGGGAAUCUUCCGCAAUGGGCGCAAGCCUGACGGAGCAACGCCGCGUGAGUGAAGAAGGCCUUCGGGUUGUAAAACUCUGUCAUCAGGGAAGAAGAAAGUGACGGUACCUGAGGAGGAAGCCCCGGCUAACUACGUGCCAGCAGCCGCGGUAAAACGUAGGGGGCGAGCGUUGUCCGGAAUUACUGGGCGUAAAGGGCGCGUAGGCGGUUAUCCAAGUCAGGGGUGAAAACCUUGGGCUCAACUCAGGGCCUGCCUCUGAAACUGGGUAACUUGAGGGCAGGAGAGGGGAGUGGAAUUCCCAGUGUAGCGGUGAAAUGCGUAGAUAUUGGGAGGAACACCAGUGGCGAAGGCGGCUCUCUGGCCUAACCCUGACGCUGAGGCGCGAAAGCGUGGGGAUC
rnacentral:rRNA from 1 species